rnacentral:rRNA from 1 species
UGGGGAAUAUUGGACAAUGGGCGCAAGCCUGAUCCAGCCAUGCCGCGUGAGUGAUGAAGGCCCUAGGGUUGUAAAGCUCUUUCACCGGUGAAGAUAAUGACGGUAACCGGAGAAGAAGCCCCGGCUAACUUCGUGCCAGCAGCCGCGGUAAUACGAAGGGGGCUAGCGUUGUUCGGAUUUACUGGGCGUAAAGCGCACGUAGGCGGACUAUUAAGUCAGGGGUGAAAUCCCGGGGCUCAACCCCGGAACUGCCUUUGAUACUGGUAGUCUUGAGUUCGAGAGAGGUGAGUGGAAUUCCGAGUGUAGAGGUGAAAUUCGUAGAUAUUCGGAGGAACACCAGUAGCGAAGGCGGCUCACUGGCUCGAUACUGACGCUGAGGUGCGAAAGCGUGGGGAGCAAACAGG